rnacentral:rRNA from 1 species
UGGGGAAUAUUGGACAAUGGGCGAAAGCCUGAUCCAGCCAUGCCGCGUGUGUGAAGAAGGCCUUUUGGUUGUAAAGCACUUUAAGUGGGGAGGAAAAGCUUAUGGUUAAUACCCAUAAGCCCUGACGUUACCCACAGAAUAAGCACCGGCUAACUCUGUGCCAGCAGCCGCGGUAAUACAGAGGGUGCAAGCGUUAAUCGGAAUUACUGGGCGUAAAGCGCGCGUAGGUGGUUAUUUAAGUCAGAUGUGAAAGCCCCGGGCUUAACCUGGGAACUGCAUCUGAUACUGGAUAACUAGAGUAGGUGAGAGGGGAGUAGAAUUCCAGGUGUAGCGGUGAAAUGCAUAGAGAUCUGGAGGAAUACCGAUGGCGAAGGCAGCUCCCUGGCAUCAUACUGACACUGAGGUGCGAAAGCGUGGGUAGCAAACAGGAUUAGAUACCCUGGUAGUCCACGCCGUAAACGAUGUCUACCAGUCGUUGGGUCUUUUAAAGACUUAGUGACGCAGUUAAUGCAAUAAGUAGACCGCCUGGGGAGUACGGCCGCAAGGUUA